GUCUUGUUAAUGUUCUGUGUGUAUUAAUCUCUCUCUCUGUAACAGAUAAUAAAAACCACUCUAAUAGUGACCAGUCCAGACACUAUGCUGUUUCUGCGGUCUGCUCUGUGGGUGGAGUCCUGGCUGUGAUUGGGGCAGUGGCUUAUCUGAAGAGGCACAGAGACAAGCAGAGAGAAGGCAGUGCGAUAUACCAGAACUGGGCUCAGGUGAACACAAGGGCUCCAAGCUGCUGACUGUGUACGACGAGAUUCGGCCGAGGAACAGUGCCCCCUGCUAGCAGAGAGUGUUACUGCCUCCUUUGUGCUGACGAGGAGUUCGAGCUCUGUCUCUGCGCCCCUGGCAGUGCGAGUGCGGAGACUGUGCCUGGGACAGAGCAGAAGAGCCUCUGCAGAUCAGCUGACCCGGCAGAGUUGACCUCCUCACAUGGAGCAACAGUGACCCCUUGUGGUUGAACUGGGUAUCUGCAGGACUGGAGAAUCCGAGACGCCGGUCGACAUCUGUCUUCAUUCCACCUGUUAUUUACAAUUAUAUUCAAGCAUUUCAUAAAAGCAGAAUAAUUUAAAAUACAUCUGAUGCUACUAUUGACAAUCUGUAUGAAUUAUUUUUAGAAUUCUGGCAGAUCAAUAAAUAGAUCUGGCAGUUUUCAUAUUCUCAUCCUGAGUCUGAGACUUGUGUGAUUACAUUGCUAAGCAUAUUAAUGAAUGAAUGAAGUAGAAGACUAGCUAAGUGCAGGAUUCACUAAACAGUGAGUCCAGAUUUUCAAUGAUUUACAGUCCUGACUGAAGCACUGGGCUUCUCAAAGACUGAACUGGCCCAGGAUUUUGAAUGUUUGAAUCAGGUCUCCUCAGCACUCUGUUCAGCACUAAAGAGACUAAGCUCCUUCAGCCUGUCAGCAUGGGACACUCCCUUCAGACUAAAUAGAAGGGAGUGUCCUGAAAGGAGUUCCUUCACUCCUUUCAGACCAAAGAAUGAAAAAUACUGUGACUCAAAUCGUGUAGCUGGGAUGUUUAUCUCUGGCAGAGAAUAACUGUCUACAUCUCUGCUGUCUAGACCUGUAUUGCAUUUGCCUGUAAAAUAAACUAAUUUAUUAACUGAC